rnacentral:rRNA from 1 species
GACGAACGCUGGCGGCGUGCCUAAUACAUGCAAGUCGAACGCACAGUUUAUACCGUAGCUUGCUACACCAUAGACUGUGAGUUGCGAACGGGUGAGUAACGCGUAGGUAACCUGCCUGGUAGCGGGGGGUAACUAUUGGAAACGAUAGCUAAUACCGCAUAAUAUUGAUUAUUGCAUGAUAAUUGAUUGAAUGAUGCUAUUGAAUCACUACCAGAUGGACCUGCGUUGGAUUAGCUAGUAGGUGAGGUAACGGCUCACCUAGGCGACGAUACAUAGCCGACCUGAGAGGGGGAUCGGCCACACUGGGACUGAGACACGGCCCAGACUCCUACGGGAGGCAGCAGUAGGGAAACUUCGGCAAUGGACGAAAGUCUGACCGAGCAACGCCGCGUGAGUGAAGAAGGUUUUCGGAUCGUAAAGCUCUGUUGUAAGAGAAGAACGAGUGUGAGAGUGGAAAGUUCACACUGUGACGGUAUCUUACCAGAAAGGGACGGCUAACUACGUG